rnacentral:rRNA from 1 species
GAUGAACGCUGGCGGCGUGCCUAAUACAUGCAAGUCGAGCGAACAGACGAGGAGCUUGCUCCUCUGACGUUAGCGGCGGACGGGUGAGUAACACGUGGAUAACCUACCUAUAAGACUGGGAUAACUUCGGGAAACCGGAGCUAAUACCGGUUAAAUAUUUGAACGCCUGGGUCCAUAGGUAAAAAAGGUUUUGCUUUCACUUAUUGAUGGAUCCGCGCCGCAUUAGCUAGUUGGUAAGGUAACGGCUUACCAAGGCGACGAUGCGUAGCCGACCUGAGAGGGUGAUCGGCCACACUGGAACUGAGACACGGUCCAGACUCCUACGGGAGGCAGCAGUAGGGAAUCUUCCGCAAUGGGCGAAAGCCUGACGGAGCAACGCCGCGUGAGUGAUGAAGGUCUUCGGAUCGUAAAACUCUGUUAUUAGGGAAGAACAAAUGUGUAAGUAACUAUGCACGUCUUGACGGUACCUAAUCAGAAAGCCACGGCUAACUACGUG